rnacentral:lncRNA from 10 species
CAGGCGUGCCUGCGCAGUGCGCGGAGGAGUGCUGUUCGUGUGUUCGAGUCCCUGGGUUGCUUCCUGGGGUCUGUGGUGCUGGGUGUGCUAUCUGCGUGUGAUUCUCUAGCGAGAGAUUGUGGGCGAGUGACCGAGUGGGCAAGGGGCCGUCACUGUGUGUGCGUGAUUUUGACAGUGUGUGGUGGUAGCUUCUGACUCCGCGUGGGUCGUUGAAUGUAUGACUGGGACCGUUUAGCGGUGGAUACACAACUGUGUGCGGCUGUGGAAGAUUGCCUCAUCCGUUACGUUCCCAUUUCCGUGGAACAACAGUUUUACCAGAAGGUUUCGAAGGAACCUUAAAGUUUGGAAGCGCGGCUUUGGUGUCAUCAAAUGUGAGAAGCCCUGGACUUUACACAUCCCGAGCCAGUGUGAUCCAGUAUGAUUGGGAGUCCGAGUGCCAGAUGCCGGUCAGGACCUGUUAUGCUGGGUCUCAGAAUGCGGAAACUCUCCCUGUCCGAGGUGGAACAGUUUGUCCUUGAGUGAGGACUGGAGUCCUGAGUGACUCUUUUGAUUUGAUCCUGUUUCCCUCAAACCUGAGAUGGGAGCCUCACUGUAUUGCCCAGGCUGGUCUUGAACUCCGGAGCUCAAGUGAUCGUCUUGCUUCAGCCUUGCAAAAUGAUGGUGAAGCUGCAUCAUUGUCUGGGGUAAAUACCUGAGGUUCGUUGUCUCACGCCAAGGGAAUCAAGGACGUGGACACACAAGAAAUGGAGUCCCUGUCUGACCGGGCCAUGUUGUAUGUUCCUUGCUGUACACGUGGUUGACAAAGAAAAGGGAAGAUGGAGCUGCGAUGUUGGACAUGCCUGGCCCCCAGGACAUACAGCCCUGCCGAGCAAAUAAUGAACGUAACUCACAAACUUCCUGCUUAUCAUCAAACGCACGCAUCCACUUAUCAUCAAACACCUCGGGUGACAGAAGAAUGCAGGUCAGCUCCCUGCUGCCUUGGCAUUAUCAAUCAGCCCAGGAACCAUCCUAUAAAAUCUCCAGCAAGCCUUUGUUUCCUUGCAGUCAGCUCCUCUUCCACUGAUUCUGCCUGUUGCUCCCUGAUAACAUACUUUGAUACUGUCUUUAAUAAAUCUGCCUUUCUUCACCCACAGCUGUCUUGGUAAGUUCUUUUACCUCUGUGCCACCAGCCCAAACAGUUGCUGCUCACCUGAAACAAAGAAUAAAUGUGGUUUUUAAGCAAAUCAAAGUUUACUUAGUGACUCUUACCAAGCUUUGUAGAAGGUUGUGCCAAAAGGAGAAGCUUAAGAGAUAACGGCUAAAAAU